rnacentral:rRNA from 1 species
UACGUAGGGGGCAAGCGUUGUCCGGAUUUACUGGGCGUAAAGAGCGUGUAGGCGGCCAUACAGGUCCGUUGUGAAAACUGGAGGCUCAACUUCCAGACGUCGACGGAAACCGUGUGGCUAGAGUCCGGAAGAGGAGAGUGGAAUUCCUGGUGUAGCGGUGAAAUGCGCAGAUAUCAGGAGGAACACCGAUGGCGAAGGCAGGUCUCUGGGCCACUACUGACGCUGAGAAGCGAAAGCAUGGGGAGCGAACAGG